UACGUAGGGGGCUAGCGUUGUCCGGAUUUAUUGGGCGUAAAGAGCGUGUAGGCGGCCAGGUAGGUCUGCUGUGAAAACUCGAGGCUCAACCUCGAGACGUCGGCGGAAACCAUCUGGCUAGAGUCCGGAAGAGGAGAGUGGAAUUCUCGGUGUAGAGGUGAAAUUCGUAGAUAUCGAGAGGAACACCGGUGGCGAAGGCGGCCUUCUGGACAGUGACUGACGCUGAGACGCGAAAGCGUGGGGAGCAAACAGG
rnacentral:rRNA from 1 species